GACGAACGCUGGCGGCGUGCUUAACACAUGCAAGUCGAACGAAAAAUCAUUGAAAGCUUGCUGAUAUGAUUUUUAGUGGCGGACGGGUGAGUAACGCGUGAGGACUUGUCCAAUACAGGGGGACAACAGUUGGAAACGACUGCUAAUACCCCAUAAGCCUUAGGGUUAAAGAUUUAUCGGUUUAAGAUGGGCUCGCGUCUGAUUAGCUAGUUGGUGAGAUAAAAGCCCACCAAGGCAACGAUCAGUAACCGGCUUGAGAGAGUGAACGGUCACAUUGGAACUGAGACACGGUCCAAACUCCUACGGGAGGCAGCAGUGGGGAAUAUUGCACAAUGGGGGAAACCUUGAUGCAGCGACGCCGCGUGAGCGAUGAAGGAAUUCGUUUCGUAAAGCUCUGUCCUAGGGGAAGAUAAUGACAGUACCCUUGGAGGAAGCCCCGGCUAAAUACGUGCCAGCCGCCGCGGUAAUAC
rnacentral:rRNA from 1 species